UACGGAGGGGGUUAGCGUUGUUCGGAAUUACUGGGCGUAAAGCGCGCGUAGGCGGAUUGGAAAGUUGGGGGUGAAAUCCCGGGGCUCAACCCCGGAACUGCCUCCAAAACUACUAGUCUAGAGUUCGAGAGAGGUGAGUGGAAUUCCGAGUGUAGAGGUGAAAUUCGUAGAUAUUCGGAGGAACACCAGUGGCGAAGGCGGCUCACUGGCUCGAUACUGACGCUGAGGUGCGAAAGUGUGGAGGGCAAACAGG
rnacentral:rRNA from 1 species